rnacentral:rRNA from 1 species
UACGGAGGGUGCAAGCGUUAUCCGGAUUCACUGGGUUUAAAGGGUGCGUAGGUGGGUUGGUAAGUCAGUGGUGAAAUCUCCGAGCUUAACUUGGAAACUGCCAUUGAUACUAUCAUUCUUGAAUAUCGUGGAGGUAAGCGGAAUAUGUCAUGUAGCGGUGAAAUGCUUAGAUAUGACAUAGAACACCGAUUGCGAAGGCAGCUUGCUACACGAUCAUUGACACUGAGGCACGAAAGCGUGGGGAUCAAACAGG